rnacentral:rRNA from 1 species
AACGAACGCUGGCGGCAUGCCUAACACAUGCAAGUCGAACGAGACCUUCGGGUCCAGUGGCGCACGGGUGCGUAACGCGUGGGAACCUGCCCUUAGGUUCGGAAUAACUCCCCGAAAGGGGUGCUAAUACCGGAUAAUGUCUUCGGACCAAAGAUUUAUCGCCUUUGGAUGGGCCCGCGUUGGAUUAGCUAGUUGGUAGGGUAAAAGCCUACCAAGGCGACGAUCCAUAGCUGGUCUGAGAGGAUGAUCAGCCACACUGGGACUGAGACACGGCUCAGACUCCUACGGGAGGCAGCAGUGGGGAAUAUUGGACAAUGGGCGAAAGCCUGAUCCAGCAAUGCCGCGUGAGUGAUGAAGGCCUUAGGGUUGUAAAGCUCUUUUACCCGGGAUGAUAAUGACAGUACCGGGAGAAUAAGCUCCGGCUAACUCCGUG